rnacentral:rRNA from 1 species
AACGAACGCUGGCGGCAGGCCUAACACAUGCAAGUCGAACGAAGGCCCGGAGCUUGCUCCGGUCACCUUAGUGGCGGACGGGUGAGUAGCACGUGGGAAUCUACCUUGCAGUACGGAAUAACUGUUGGAAACGGCAGCUAAUACCGUAUACGCCCUUCGGGGGAAAGAUUUAUCGCUGUUGGAUGAGCCCGCGCCUGAUUAGCUUGUUGGUGAGGUAAUGGCUCACCAAGGCUACGAUCAGUAGCUGGUCUAAGAGGAUGAUCAGCCACACUGGGACUGAGACACGGCCCAGACUCCUACGGGAGGCAGCAGUGGGGAAUAUUGGACAAUGGGGGCAACCCUGAUCCAGCCAUGCCGCGUGAGUGAAGAAGGCCCUAGGGUUGUAAAACUCUUUCACCAGGGACGAUGAUGACGGUACCUGGAGAAGAAGCCCCGGCUAACUCCGUG